CCUACGGGAGGCAGCAGUGGGGAAUAUUGGACAAUGGGCGAAAGCCUGAUCCAGCAAUUCCGCGUGUGUGAAGAAGGCCUUCGGGUUGUAAAGCACUUUAGUGGGGGAAGAAACAGCUUGGCCACACCAAGCCUUGACGGUACCCCAAGAAUAAGCACCGGCUAACUCUGUGCCAGCAGCCGCGGUAAUACAGAGGGUGCAAGCGUUAAUCGGAUUUACUGGGCGUAAAGGGUGCGUAGGUGGCUAUUUAAGUCGGAUGUGAAAGCCCGGGGCUCAACCUCGGAAUUGCAUUCGAUACUGAGUGGCUAGAGUUCGGUAGAGGGCGGCGGAAUUUCCGGUGUAGCGGUGAAAUGCGUAGAUAUCGGAAGGAACAUCAAUGGCGAAGGCAGCCGCCUGGGCCUGGACUGACACUGAGGCACGAAAGCGUGGGUAGCAAACAGGAUUAGAUACCCUGGUAGUCCACGCCGUAAACGAUGAGAACUUGACGUUGGUUCGUUUUACGAAUCGGUGUCGCAGCUAACGCGAUAAGUUCUCCGCCUGGGGAGUACGGCCGCAAGGUUGAAACUCAAAUGAAUUGACGGNNGAGAGNGCGAGACGACGACGAGGAGAG
rnacentral:rRNA from 1 species